CAAAGUAAAUGGGCAUUUUCCUAGUACAAAGGAGGAAUCAUUUUUACACAUUUUCCUUACCAUGUUGCUGUUGGAACUUCCAUUGUUUUAAUUAGAUAACCAGUCUUCAAGGUGUCUUGUUAUUGAUAUAUGAAAGCUGAGGAAACUGAAGAUGAAAGAGUUAACUUGCCCAAGGUCACAGAAAGAAAUAUGAGGACUGGUUGUUUUCUGAAAUCCUGGAAGAUAAGAAAGUACCAGCUUCAAGACUGGCAGAUUGGUAGCCCAUGACUUGGAUGAAAUACUGAAGGCAGGGGACACUGGAGCCCUAUUUGAAGAAAAGCUACACAGCACCAGUGUUCUUGAUGACAUAAAAAAGACAUGGAUGAGAAAAAAAAUAAUGACAAUUUGAGUUUAAUGGUGAUUCAGAAGAAUUGGACUUUGAAUGCAAAGAUGUUCAAGGAAUAUAAUGAAUUUACUUUGUUUACAGUUUCUUUUUAUAAGAAUUCUCAAGAAUCACUGUAAAAACACUUACUGUAAAUGAGUCUAAAACAGCUCUCUUAUUAAGUAUAAAAUACAAAUUUUAAGCAAAAAGAAAGCAUUAUGUCACAGUUUAGUUGGAAUAUUUUUGUUUAUUGGAUAUGUACAAUGUGUAGUCCAAUAGGAAGAAUGUUAGAUUCAUUG